GAUGAAGAACGCAGCGAAAUGCGAUAAGUAAUGUGAAUUGCAGAAUUCAGUGAAUCAUCGAAUCUUUGAACGCACAUUGCGCCCGCCAGUAUUCUGGCGGGCAUGGCUGUUCGAGCGUCAUUACAACCCUCAGGCCCCCGGGCCUGGCGUUGGGGAUCGGCGGAAGCCCCCUGCGGGCACAACGCCGUCCCCCAAAUACAGUGGCGGUCCCGCCGCAGCUUCCAUUGCGUAGUAGCUAACACCUCGCAACUGGAGAGCGGCGCGGCCACGCCGUAAAACACCCAACUUCUGAAUGUUGACCUCGAAUCAGGUAGGAAUACCCGCUGAACUUAAGCAUAUCAAUAAGCGGAGGA
rnacentral:misc_RNA from 1 species